GUAAUCGCGCAUCAGCCAUGGCGCGGUGAAUACGUUCCCGGGCCUUGUACACACCGCCCGUCAAGCCAUGAAAGCCGGGGGUACCUGAAGUACGUAACCGCAAGGAUCGUCCUAGGGUAAAACUGGUAAUUGGGGCUAAGUCGUAACAAGGUAUC
rnacentral:rRNA from 1 species